rnacentral:rRNA from 1 species
UUUCUUUGCUGGCGACCGGCGCACGGGUGAGUAACACGUAUCCAACCUGCCCUUUACUCGGGGAUAGCCUUUCGAAAGAAAGAUUAAUACCCGAUGGCAUAAUGAUUCCGCAUGGUUUCAUUAUUAAAGGAUUCCGGUAAAGGAUGGGGAUGCGUUCCAUUAGGUUGUUGGUGAGGUAACGGCUCACCAAGCCUUCGAUGGAUAGGGGUUCUGAGAGGAAGGUCCCCCACAUUGGAACUGAGACACGGUCCAAACUCCUACGGGAGGCAGCAUG